rnacentral:rRNA from 1 species
UACGGAGGAUGCAAGCGUUAUCCGGAUUUAUUGGGUUUAAAGGGUGCGCAGGUUGUUUGAUAAGUCAGUGGUGAAAGUCUGACACUUAACGGUAGGAUUGCCAUUGAUACUGUUGGACUUGAAUAUGGAUGAGGUAGGCGGAAUGUGUAGUGUAGCGGUGAAAUGCAUAGAUAUUACACAGAACACCGAUUGCGAAGGCAGCUUACUAAUCCAUCAUUGACGCUGAGGCACGAAAGCGUGGGGAUCAAACA